AGCCAUAUCACGUUGAAACACCAUUUCUCGUAUGAUCCCUGAAGUUAAGCAAUGUCGAGCCUGGUUAGUACCUAGAUGGUCGACUGGUUGGGAAUACCAGGUGGUGCAUA